UACGUAGGGGGCGAGCGUUGUCCGGAUUUAUUGGGCGUAAAGAGCGUGUAGGCGGCCAGGUAGGUCUGCUGUGAAAACUCGAGGCUCAACCUCGAGACGUCGGCGGAAACCAUCUGGCUAGAGUCCGGAAGAGGAGAGUGGAAUUCCCGGUGUAGCGGUGAAAUGCGCAGAUAUCGGGAGGAACACCAAUGGCGAAGGCAGCUCGCUGGGACGGUACUGACGCUGAGACGCGAAAGCGUGGGGAGCAAACAGG
rnacentral:rRNA from 1 species